rnacentral:rRNA from 1 species
UACGUAGGGUGCAAGCGUUAAUCGGAAUUACUGGGCGUAAAGCGUGCGCAGGCGGUUAUGUAAGACAGAUGUGAAAUGCCCGGGCUUAACCUGGGAACUGCAUUUGUGACUGCAUGGCUAGAAUCUGGCAGAGGGGGGUAGAAUUCCACGUGUAGCAGUGAAAUGCGUAGAGAUGUGGAGGAACACCGAUGGCGAAGGCAGCCCCCUGGGUCAAAACUGACGCUCAUGCACGAAAGCGUGGGGAGCAAACAGG